rnacentral:rRNA from 1 species
AUUGAACGCUGGCGGCAGGCCUAACACAUGCAAGUCGCACGAGUGGCGGACGGGUGAGUAAUGUCUGGGAAUCUGCCUGAUGGAGGGGGAUAACUACUGGAAACGGUAGCUAAUACCGCAUACCAUCGGAUGAGCCCAGAUGGGCUGAGCUAGUAGGUGGGGUAACGGCUCACCUAGGCGACGAUCCCUAGCUGGUCUGAGAGGAUGACCAGCCACACUGGAACUGAGACACGGUCAAGACUCCUACGGGAGGCAGAAGUGGGGAAUAUUGCACAAGGGGCGCAAGCCUGAUGCAGCCAUGCCGCGUGUAUGAAGAAGGCCUUCGGGUUGUAAAGUACUUUCAGCGGGGAGGCGUUACCCGCAGAAGAAGCACCGGCUAACUCCGGGCCAGCAGCCGCGGUAAUAC